UACGAAGGGGGCUAGCGUUGCUCGGAAUGACUGGGCGUAAAGGGCGCGUAGGCGGUUUGGACAGUCAGAUGUGAAAUUCCUGGGCUCAACCUGGGGGCUGCAUUUGAGUACGUUCGGACGUAGAGUGGGGAAGAGGGUCGUGGAAGUUCCCAGUGUAGAGGUGAAAUUCGUAGAUAUUGGGAAGAACACCGGUGGCGAAGGCGGCGACCUGGUCCGUUGACUGACG
rnacentral:rRNA from 1 species